rnacentral:lncRNA from 1 species
CCCCCCCCCCCUCCCCAUAACGUGUCCCUUUCGAGUACUGGUGUUCCCCCAUAACGUGUCCCUUUCUCGUGCUGGUGUUCCCCCAUAACGUGUUCCUUUCUAGUGCUGGUGUUCCCCAUAACGUGUCCCUUUCUAGUGCUGGUGUUCCCCCAUAACGUGUCCCUUUCUAGUGCUGGUGUUUCCCCAUAACGUGUCCCUUUCUAGUGCUGGUGUUUCCCCAUAACGUGUCCCUUUCUAGUUCUGAUGUUCCCCCAUAACGUGUCCCUUUCUAGUACUGGUGUUCCCCCAUAACGUGUCCCUUUCUCGUGCUGGUGUUCCCCCAUAACGUGUCCCUUUCUAGCGCUGGUGUUUCCCCAUAACGUGUCCCUUUCUCGUGCCCAUGGUGCCCAUCAUGAGUCCCUUUCUCGUGCUGAUGUUCCCCAUGAGUCUCUUUCUCGUUAUGUUGUUCCUCAUGUGUCCCUUUCUCGUGCUGAUGUUCCCCAUGAGUCUCUUUCUAGUUCUGAUGUUCCCCAUAACGUGUCCCUUUCUCGUGCUGGUGUUCCCCAUGUGUCCCUUUCUCAUGCUGGUGUUCCCCAUGAGUCUCUUUCUCGUGCUGGCGUUCCCCAUCAUGAGUCCCUUUCUCGUGCUCAUGGUCCCCAUGAGUCUCUUUCUCGUUAUGAUGUUCCUCAUG